CUGGGGGAGGAAGGAGUUUCCUUCCAGCUCCUCGGGGCCUGGCUGGGUCGGCAGGUUAGACCGCCGGAGCCAGAUGGAGCCAGACGGACAGGAGGCGGGGGCACACAUUUCACACAAGCUCGGCCUGACCCGGAAGCCUCGCUAAGGCCGCGAAGAGCAGACGGGAGAGACGGAGCGUUUGCGCUGCGGGUUCGAUGCAGACGACGGCCCGGAGGACGGCGGAUGCUCAGGGCGCAGGAGGCAUGAGAACGCCUCCGCCCUCCAGCCUUGCUUCCUGGUGAUGUCAUAUACGGUGAUGUGAAAAUACGUGACUCCUAUUGGUGACAAAGUCACAGUAUUGAGGGAUCCUGGCCUCCUAAACCGACUGGGUGAACAAAUCUGCGUGCCGAGGCUGAGAGGUGGUCUUGGCGGUAGAGGGGACGGGAGCCAGCAGUUCCUGAAACGCUCUAGCAACGCUCUCACACCUGCAUCCUUGAAUUGGAAGGUCAGUGAACUAACUAGAGCCGGCAGGCAGGUGACACUUUUGGGGAUGUCUCUGGACCACUCAGCACUCCUGCUGUGUCGUCCCUUUUACCCGUAGGCCAGGAAUCACUGGAUUUAAAAGUUUACCUGUCUUCCGUGCCUGCCCCGGAGACCUGCCGUCUGGCCGGCUGCCCAGCCAGCUCCCUCUCGCCUUCCUCUGGUCCAGGGCCUCCGGCUCCUGUAGGUGUGGCCGGGGUGGGCUCUCUUGGGGGUGGCCUGCCUGUUGACCCGUGGAAGGUGGGGUCCUUUGUGGUCCGAAUUAAUGGAUCUGGUUCUUAGACAACAAGUCGCUUGCUAAGGAAAUUACCCUCUUCGUUUCUGGUUUUGGUCGGGGGCCCCUUGGUCCAAUGCUCAGCGCGAAAUCACGGUUCAACUAUGCUUUGUCUUUCCGCCUCACUUCUCUCUGUGUUUGACACAUGCUGAAAACUAGAGAGCCUGGAGUGGAAAAUGCGUCGAUAAGAUAAAAGCGUUUGCAGUUGUGUUCUGACUUUGAUUCGUUUCCUCUGUUACUGUAUUUCUCGCAAGAUUAAUUGCAUAUUAUAAUGUGUGCUCAGGCCUCUUGGUGUCGCUUCUAGAUAUUUGAUAGCAGGGUGACUGCGUGCUGCUUUGCCUCGCAGGGACCCUGCCAUAACUUCUAAAGGUCACUGAAUGCCUGAGUUUUUGAGAUUAAGUAAAUUAAAUUUUCUUGCUCAUACUAAUAAAAAUUUAGCUGCAUUCCAAGUAUUAGGAUAAAUUAUUGUGCUGUCUGUAGAAAUCAGCUCUUCUGUUUCAGUGAAAAGCAGAUAAAAACUAUACAUGCAGAGUUCCCUGGUGGCUCAGUGGGUUAAGGACCCAGUGUUGUCACCACUGUGAUGGAGGUUUGAUCCCUGGCCUGAAAACCUCCACAUAUUUUGGGUGAGACAAAAACAAACAAACAAAAAAACGCAAAGAAACCCCCACAACAACCCAAAAAACCCUAUCCAUGCAACGAAUCUAAUCUGUUCAGUGGUGAUGUUAGAAUGAUGAGGCUUGGCCUGGUCUGGGUAACCUUUCAGCAUCGGGCGUGUUCCACACUGAAAUGCUGUGGUUUCCGUCAGCAAUCAGUUAACUAGAUACGGACAUGACGAUGGCCUCAUUCCAGCAGGCGUGUUAUUCUUCAAAGCAGUCAUUAGCUGCAUGUCGAUAUAGUUUUUGACGAACUGCAGAAGUCUUAAUUGUUAAAAAGAAUAUCAGGUAAAUCCGUGAAGGAUUUUGAUUGUGCUCCAAAGAUUAGCUAUGUCAUCGGAAAGUAAACCGAGACACCUCUUCCCUGCGGUCAUACAGCUCGUGACAUUCAGCCACCCGCCCGCCGACAAAGGGGACUGAUGGCACGUGAGCGACACAGUCCGGCUCUUCCUGACGAUCCAGCGCGAGAGCCGGACGCCAUCAGCUCUUGGCGCACACCAUGGGGCCUGCCGCUGGGCACACACGUGUGCACGUGAGCCCACACAUACCCACCUAUGUGGACACACACACGCACACCUCGCCCUCAGAGCCUCUCUGGCGGGGUCCCAUCUCCUGUCUGUGUUCUCGCUGCCUGACCGGGGCCCCCCGGGGCGCCGCUGCUGGUGGAAGUGUGUCUUCACAGGACAAGCGCUGUUUCUGAGUUGUUCACCACAACACCGCCGGGGACACGUGUUGGGGGGACAUUUUUUGUAAAACAUGCCAUAUUGAGUCACAUAAAUCUGCCUUUCUCACGUCGCAUAAAUGAAAACUUAGAAAAUUAAAAGCAAUUAUCUUUCAGAUGUAUUGGUUCUUUGUUUUUAGCCAUACUCGUGGCAUUGGGAAGUUCCUGAGCCAGGGAUUGAACAUGCACCGCAGCUGUCAAGGAGCCACGGCAGUGACAAUGUCCGACUCUUAACCUGCUGAGCCACCAGGGAACCCUGGUUCUCUCUUGAGUUGUCUAAGGAGAGAGGGUUCACUCACCAGGUUUGGAAGUUUGAUUCAGGGUGCUUCAGGAUAGGAAUUCUUCCGUCAGUGAAACUAAGGCGUUAGACCCUGCAUGGUGUUCGGCGCAGAGCUGGCAGGAGCCCCCCGGGGGCCUGUGUGAGACAGGCUUCUUGUGUCCUGAUCCCACACUGACCUCUCUGGGCGCCGGGUCCCUCUAGAAUAAAAGGGCCUCGGGGCCCCGGCUGCAGAGGUGAACCCCUGGUGAAGUCAGAGCUUCUCGGGAGGUUGGUGUGUGCGUUUAAUUUCAGGUAAAAAUCCAUCUGAUCAGAAAUCUGAAGCAGGUUCUCUGCUGCACAGCGUCCCAGAAGUGAUGGCGUUUCGUGGGUCCAAGAGCAGCUGCCCCAGGCUUUCUGACCUGGGAGCCGGCCUGGGCUUCUCGGGAAGGGUUUCGCCGGACGAGAGUCCCUGUAGGAGCUGCUCUGCGUGCGAAACGCUCUCUGGGUUUGGGGGGACCCUCCCCGAGCUUAGGA